ACACAUACUUCCAUCUCUGUUAUGUUAGCAUAAAUCUGUGUGGUUUUUCGUUUUUAUGUUCUUAGUUCACGAAUCUUUACUAGUUUCUCUUUUUUAUUUUAUUAAAUUUCAUGUAGGGUUGGAUGUUUGUGAAUUGUUUGGAUGAGAAUUAAUGUGAGCUGAAGAAAUUUUUGUUAUGCACUAUUUAUAUGAGAUUCUGAGAAAAUUAGGUGUUAGUCUGAAGGCAUAUAUAAGGAGAUCUGUAUUACCAGGCAUGUUUGACAUUAAAAUCCUGACCUAUUUUAUAGGGCUUAUGGAGUUUGGAUUACAGUGGAAAAUCUGAAUAUCUUCAUUCAGCUUUUAGAGAAACUUUUGCAAGAAUUUUCAUCUUUGGUCUCAUUUUAUUUGUUUGUUUGAUUCUCUGGGAGAGGCGUAAAGAUUUCUUCUGAUAACAAGGAGAGAUGACUAGUGAAAGGAUUGUCUUUACUAGUGCAUGGGCCAUGAAUUAGACAUUUUUAGUUGGCUUAAAAUUUACUCUACUUUUGUGCCACUGGGAGUAUAUGAAAGUGAGAGCAAUUGCAUACAAGUCAAGUUAUAACGUGCACCCAAUGAAUUUCCAUAGUUGUUCUUAUAAGCAGCUAAUCUGAAAAUUUUGUGUCCUUUCAUACUUUGGACUUUCUAUAUGGCAGGAGGGUUAACUAGCAUGCAUCUUGAAUGCAUUUGGAUUCAUAUACCAACUUCCCGCCCACCCCUCCUUUUAAAGUGAAUAAAAAACACUCACAACUCUGUUCAUUCACAGGAAAAUACUACUUGUUAACUAUGAUGGCUUUGUAAUUAAGCCUUGCGACCAUGGCUUUACAACUAAGCCUUGCUAUAUCUCACGUGACAAGUGAUGAAAGAGUCUGGUUUGUGGUUAUGUUCGAAGUCGUAUCCUCUGUUUGGUUUUGUUUCUGCAUUUUUUUAUUUCCUUUUACCUUCCUCGGACCACCUUGUUUGAAUGGCUUUAGAGAUAGGCAGGAAGAAAUUCCACAUGUCCUGUCAAUGCCCAACCAUGAUAUUACAAUGUGAAUGUUUUGUACCGUGUGGGGUUGAUGCUGAACUGCAAUAUUCUGUGGUUGUUGGUUGCAAAGAAGAGGAGCAUAAACGGAAGUGGCCAAUGCUAAGAACCCAAGGGAAAACAAGUAACAAACGACUGAAAACCCUCAAGUCUAGAAGAAGUACAAGAACAUGUUUACUUGAUAAGGGAUGUCAUUCGAAUAGAAAGAAUAACAUGGUGGGAAGGUGAAAAUUGUGGGAAGGUGAAGAAGUCAGCCAAAGGUUGUUGCUUGCUCCUCUUGUUGCUGUUCAUGGACUGAAAAAUCUGCUCUAGCUCCUUCACAAAGUUUAUGGCACCCCCAACAAUUGAUGCUUUGUCCCCCUGUAACAAAUAUUUAUAACAAUAUUAAUUUGGUCCAAUCCCCAAAAAAAAUUCUGUUUAAAAGAACAUAUGGGUAGAAAUCCAUGUGAGUUCUUUGGGUUAAUCUCCCAAAAACAUUUCAAUCUAAAGAAAAUGGAGUUGCAAGGGACUUCUAGUUGUACUGCCUCCGUUAAUAGUGGUUAAGCCAGUUUACCCUCACAUUCGAGGUUCUUUGUUUGUGUAUCUCCCUCCCGUAAUAUGACUUUUGUAAAAGAAAAACAAAAAUAAAAACAUAUGUAGCUCGAUGAAAUUUUUUGGCCAUUUU